AAAUACAUAAUUCAGAGGGAACAAUGAUGCUCAGAGUCAACAUGCUACUGGUGAUACAAGCCCCGGUGUCAGAGCCAGUGUUGUCUCACCUCUGUCUGCCUCAUGGAGAGACCGUGGUCACAUGCUCCUCAGAGGGAGAUGGUCUUCAGUACAGCUGGACCCUGAACGGCCAGAAUCUGACCAGGAGUGUAGCCUAUGACCACUACCAGAACAGUGUCAUCACGUUGAAGAGUGAUGUGACAGGAACCCUGACCUGUAUGGGUCAGAAUAAUGUUAGCACCAGCAACUCUACUAUUGAUCUCCCCUUGGCCUGCCCAGGUAAUCUCAGGACAGUUGACUUAAUUCCCACUUUUUGAAUUAAGAGUACAACUCUGUUUCAUUUGCAUGGUCAACAAGUGUUGUGUACUGAUGUUUUCUUUCUAGUUGUCUCUUCCCAGUUUCCUUUUGUAGCUGUGACAGUGGCUCUGACUGUUGGAACUUUCACAUUACUUCUUGCACUGUUUGUCGGUAUUAACCAUCUAUGCAAGAAACGAAGAUCCAGAUUUGAUACUUCAGAAAACGGUGAUGAGGGUGUUGUAUACACUGUUGUGAAAAUAGGCAAGCAAAGAAAUCCAGCAAGGAAGCAGAGGCCCCCAGCCACAGAGAUGGUGGAGUAUGGACAGAUCAAAAUGGCUGUGAACCCGGAUGUGGCAGCCAGCCCAUAGACUCAAGGGUAGACAUUUUAUCCACAUGUAGCUUUAUAAAGCAGAUAUAAGACAAGGGUUGACUGAACAUUAUGUGGAUGCACUGAUUGAGUAGAUCAGACAGACCAUCAAACUUAAAGACUAGUGCCAAAUCAACACAACAAGAUGACAUCAUGCAUCGUGCAACGAAUGCAAGGAAGAUGCACUGCAUGUAGUUUUGAGUUUGU